GGACCCGCACAAGCGGUGGAGCAUGUGGUUUAAUUCGAAGCAACGCGAAGAACCUUACCAAAUCUUGACAUCCUUUGAAAACUCUAGAGAUAGAGCCUUCCCCUUCGGGGGACAAAGUGACAGGUGGUGCAUGGUUGUCGUCAGCUCGUGUCGUGAGAUGUUGGGUUAAGUCCCGCAACGAGCGCAACCCUUAAACUUAGUUGCCAGCAUUUAGUUGGGCACUCUAGGUUGACUGCCGGUGACAAACCGGAGGAAGGUGGGG
rnacentral:rRNA from 1 species